UCAUCGUUUAGGAUCCAAUCCAAUUCUUAUUAAGAGUCAUUUACAGCCUUUUCAUUGACUUUAAUGGGAAUUGGACUGGCUCCUAAAUUAGGA